rnacentral:rRNA from 1 species
GACGAACGCUGGCGGCGUGGAUUAGGCAUGCAAGUCGAACGGUAGGAUACCUUCGGGUAUCUGAGAGUGGCGAACGGGUGAGUAACACGUAGGUGAUCUACCCUCAAGAUUGGGACAACCCAGGGAAACUUGGGCUAAUACCGGAUGAAAGCAGCAGUGAUGUUGUUUGAAAGGUGGCGUAAGCUGCCGUUUGGGGAUGAGCCUGCGCUCUAUUAGUUAGUUGGCGGGGUAAAGGCCCACCAAGGCGAUGAUAGAUAGGCGGCCUUAACGGGUGGUCGCCCACACUGGGAUUGAGAUACGGCCCAGACUCCCACGGGAGGCAGCAGUCGAGAAUAGUCUACAAUGGCCGAAAGGCUGAUAGUGCGACGCCGCGUGAACGAAGAAGCCCUUCGGGGUGUAAAGUUCUUUUAUAUGUGAGCAGUGCUUUCUAUGUGAACAGCAUGGGGAGAGAGAUAUUAGCAUAUGAAUAAGCAACGGCUAACUCCGUGCCAGCAC